UUUUUUUUUUUUUUUUUUUUUUUUUUUUUUUUUUUUUUUUUUUUUUUUUUUUUUUUUCUGGGAAAUAUAUUUCAUCAGUGACGCUAGCAACUCCAGUACAACCAAAAAAUCACCGACAAACAGAAAAAUUACUUCAUCC
rnacentral:ribozyme from 12 species